rnacentral:rRNA from 1 species
GAUGAACGCUGGCGGCGUGCUUAACACAUGCAAGUCGAACGGGAUCCAGGCAGCUUGCUGCCUGGUGAGAGUGGCGAACGGGUGAGUAAUGCGUGACCGACCUGCCCCAUACACCGGAAUAGCUCCUGGAAACGGGUGGUAAUGCCGGAUGCUCCGACUCCUCGCAUGGGGUGUCGGGAAAGAUUUCAUCGGUAUGGGAUGGGGUCGCGUCCUAUCAGGUAGUCGGCGGGGUAACGGCCCACCGAGCCUACGACGGGUAGCCGGCCUGAGAGGGCGACCGGCCACAUUGGGACUGAGAUACGGCCCAGACUCCUACGGGAGGCAGCAGUGGGGAAUAUUGCACAAUGGGCGCAAGCCUGAUGCAGCGACGCCGCGUGCGGGAUGACGGCCUUCGGGUUGUAAGCCGCUUUUGAUCGGGAGCAAGCCUUCGGGUGAG